rnacentral:lncRNA from 1 species
CCAAGCUUGUACAUUCAUCUUUGCAAGCCUAUCUGAUUAUAUCCUUUGGACAGAAUUUCUCAACCAAAGGACGGUAGACGUUUUGGUCUGGAUAAUUCUUUGCUGUGGGAUUCUGUGCUAUGUAUGGUAGGAUAUUUAGUGGCUUUCCUGGCCUCUGCUCACUAGUUGUCAGCAGCACGCUUGUCCCUGUGCCCCCCUCCCCCACGCCCAGGCAGGAUGACCAAAAACAUCUCUGGACGUUGCCAUGUGUCCCCUGGGGGCCAAAAUCACCCCAGUUGAGAAGCACUGACAUUAGGUAGAUUAUCAGAAUAGGAAAUGCUGGGUUGAAAGGCAUACAUAUUUAAAAUUUGUAUAGAUGGAUGAUAGAUAUUGAAAAUUUUAUAUCUAUUCCCACACUGUUUUCUAGAAGAAUGGUAUCAAUUCAUGUAUGUAUCAGGAGUAACGUGAUCCUCAUUAAAUGCCUACAAGAUAUUUAAGAAAGGAGUGCUGGGUAUUUGUUAAUUUAUUUGUUGGCAUGUUUAUGUGUAUGUGUGUGUGUAUUGGUGUUCUAAGGCCACACCGAAGGCAUAUGGAAGUUCCCAAGGUGUAGGGGCCUACACCACAGCCACAGCAACGUGGGGUUCAGCCACCUACACCACAGCUCACUGCAACACCAGAUCCUUAACCCAUUGAGUGAGGCCAGGGAUCGAACCUAGUUGGAUUUGCUACCACUGAGCCAUGACGGGAACUCCGAAUUUUUGUUUAAUCAUCUUUGUUUAGUUGCUUUCCUAAGAUCAGCUAUUAUAAAGACCACGGUGUGGAGGCAGUCUAGGUAUUCUAGGACUUCUGUGCUUAGCGAAAAGCUUGGGGGCGGGGGAGAGAAAGAUGGUAGAAAACCCAAGAGAAAACCUCUCAUUACUUUGCAAUUUAGGACUGUUUCUUACAGUGAGACACAGGACUAAUAGUAAAUGAUGUGAUGACGAUAGCUAAUUAUUGAAUAUUUGCUGUGUGUCAGGCACUGGGCUAAGUGCUCUUACUUAUAAUUUCAUUUAAAUUUCAGAGAAAUCUGUUAGGUAAGUGCUACCAUUUUCGCCAGAUGAAGGAAGAUGGGCAUAGAAAGGCGGCCAGCCAUUCAUCGGGCAGGCCCAGGGUCACGACCCUGGUGGUGUGGCCAGGAUUUUGAAGCUGGCAGUCCAAGUGACCACACUAUCCAUUAAUUCACCCUUCCAGCAAAUAUUUGAGCUUCUCCUAUGCGCCAGCUACAGUGUUCUUGGCCGAGUUUAUAAGAGUGAGCCAAAAAUGACAUGAUUGCGGCCUCGUGCAGCUCGCAGACUGAUGGGGGCUGAUAAAAGCUAGUCUAAUGAGGACUAGGAAGAGGAGGUUCAUGAGACUUUGAGAACCUACAAGGGGGGACCUGCCCUCGUCAGGAAGGUCAGGGAAGGCUUCCAGGGGAAAUAAGGAUUAAAAUAAGAUCUGGAAAAAGAGCGGAGGGUGGUGGUUAUGGGGGAGCCAAAGAAAAGGAACAUCACGUCUCAUUUGCUGGGAUGGACUGGGGUGUGUUGAAGGAACUGGCCCUAUGUAGACAGGGCUAGGGUGAGUAUGAGGCCAAGGAUACAGGUUCUAGGCAGAAUGUCCAUGGAUCUGUGCUUCCAAAAACAGUUCUGUUUGUUGUCUGUUCUUGUAGUGCAGGGUGUGUGAGAUGGGAUAGGCUAGGGUUGGGGAGUGGGGGUGGAUAACGUGGUCGGAUUUGUGUUGGGGAAGGAUCGCUCUGUGAUGGAUGAAGCAUGCCUGGGGGCAGUGGGCAGUAGAUACAGAAAACUAGGAAGGUGGGCAGUCACAAGUAAUGAGCAUUUCUGCCUCAGUGAUUUAUUGAUGCUUCACCAACUAACCCAAAACUUAGUGGUUUAACCAGCAACUGUUGGUACAGGAUUCUUCCAUUUGGGCAGGGCUUAGCAGGGGUGGUUUUUCUCUGCCCUCCAUGGUUUGCUGAGGAAUACAUUCAUCCCUGAGCUUAGGUGUGGCUGGAAUGUCCAAGUUGGCUUCACGUACACACUUGGCACUUGGUGCUGGCCCUGACUUGGCUCUCAGGUUACCCUCCCCAGCAUGGAAAACUUAGGGCGAAACGAGACAUGGCCAGGUUUCUUUAGGUCUAGGUCCAGAACAGGCACAGCCCUCUUUACUCCUUUGCAUUUGUCAGGGUACAUCCUAUGGCCAGUCCAUACUUAAGGGAAGGAGGAAAAGAAUCUACCCUCUUGAUGGGCAAGUGCACACAAGAAUGGAGGGAAUCACUGGUAACCAGCAUUGGAGGCAACCUGCUGAAAGUUGCUAUGUGCCAGACACAAUUGAAGGCAAUGAGAAUAGAACACAGUGAUACAAACUCGUUCCCAUUCAUGUAGCCUUACAGAUGGAGACCAUAAGCAAACAAAUAAGCUAUAGCAUGUGCAGGGUGGUGUGCAAAGAGGAGAUGGAGGAAGCUGUGGAGGACAGGUAAAUGGGGAAGGAGGCUCUGACAGGAGAUCAAGCUAGAGAAGACUGAGAGGUGGACCUUGAUGUUGAUGGUACACAAGCAAGGGAAGAUAGGCUUUAAGAGAUGUUUAGGAGUGAAAAUUAGGCUGCCAUCAUUGAUGGAUUGAGUAAAUGCUGCCAGAGGGAGGGAGUAUUUCAAGAUGACACCUCAUUUUUUUUCAUGUGACCAUCUCUGGAUGGAGGUACCACUGUGAGAGUUAGCAGAAUCUUGGGAGAGCCCUAGAGUGGAGUAGGAAGAUAAUGAGAUUAGGUUGGAAACAUCUUGCGUUUUUCAGGUUGGAACUGCUUUGACUUGUGCUCUGUGCUGAGUCUUUGUGUCCAGCCCAAAUUCAUAUGUUAAAUCCUUACACCCAGUGUCAUGAUGUCUGGAGGUGUGGCCUUUGGGAGGUGAUUGGGUCAUGAGAAUGGAACCUUUUUGCAUGGGAUUAGUACCCUUUAAAAGAAGGGCCAGACAUGUGAGAAGACAUCAUCUGUGAAUCAGAAAGUAGAUCCACUGAUUCUGCAGGCCCACCUUGAUGUUGAACUUCCCAGCCCCUAAAACUGGGAGAAAUAAAUUUCUGUUGUUUAUAAGCCACCAAGUCAAUGUUGUUCUGUUAUAGCAGUCCCAGUGGACUAAGACAGUGUAUUUUAUCUCUCUUGUAACUAGAGAGCCCAGAAAUUCUUAUAACAGCAAAACUGAGCCCAUAGACUGCCUUUGGAAUCUUAUUGUUAAAAGAUUUAGUCUUACCAUAUACUCUGGUAUUUUGUUCAGAAAAUACCACUGCUGGAGACCAUACCAAAAAAAAAAAAAAAAAAAAAAAAA